ACUGCUCAGUAACACGUGGAUAACCUGCCCUUGGGUCCGGCAUAACUCCGGGAAACUGGAGAUAAUUCCGGAUAACGCAUAUAUGCUGGAAUGCUUUAUGCGUAAAAUGGAUUCGUCUGCCCAAGGAUGGGUCUGCGGCCUAUCAGGUAGUAGUGGGUGUAAUGUACCUACUAGCCUACGACGGGUACGGGUUGUGAGAGCAAGAGCCCGGAGAUGGAUUCUGAGACAUGAAUCCAGGCCCUACGGGGCGCAGCAGGCGCGAAAACUUUACAAUGCGGGAAACCGUGAUAAGGGGACACCGAGUGCCAGCAUCAUAUGCUGGCUGUCCAGGUGUGUAAAAUACACCUGUUAGCAAGGGCCGGGCAAGACCGGUGCCAGCCGCCGCGGUAACACCGGCGGCCCGAGUGGUGAUCGUGAUUAUUGGGUCUAAAGGGUCCGUAGCCGGUUUGGUCAGUCCUCCGGGAAAUCUGAUAGCUCAACUAUUAGGCUUUCGGAGGAUACUGCCAGACUUGGAACCGGGAGAGGUAAGAGGUACUACAGGGGUAGGAGUGAAAUCUUGUAAUCCCUGUGGGACCACCUGUGGCGAAGGCGUCUUACCAGAACGGGUUCGACGGUGAGGGACGAAAGCUGGGGGCACGAACCGGAUUAGAUACCCGGGUAGUCCCAGCCGUAAACGAUGCUCGCUAGGUGUCAGGCAUGGCGCGACCGUGUCUGGUGCCGCAGGGAAGCCGUGAAGCGAGCCACCUGGGAAGUACGGCCGCAAGGCUGAAACUUAAAGGAAUUGGCGGGGGAGCAC
rnacentral:rRNA from 2 species